rnacentral:misc_RNA from 1 species
AAGUCGUAACAAGGUCUCCGUAGGUGAACCUGCGGAGGGAUCAUUACUGAGCGAGGGCCCCGGGCCCGACCUCCAACCCUUUGUGAACACAUCUCGUUGCUUCGGGGGCGACCCUGCCGUUCCGACGGCGGGCGCCCCCGGAGGCCCUCCCACCCUGCAUCUCCGCGUCGGAGUUCGAGUAAAUUGAACAAAACUUUCAACAACGGAUCUCUUGGUUCUG